rnacentral:rRNA from 1 species
GACGAACGCUGGCGGCGCGCCUAACACAUGCAAGUCGAACGGAGCUACCUUUUCGGAAGUUCUCGGAUGGAAGAGGAAGUAGCUUAGUGGCGAACGGGUGAGUAACACGUGAGGAACCUGCCUUAAAGAGGGGGACAACAGUUGGAAACGACUGCUAAUACCGCAUAAGCCCACGGUGCCGCAUGGCACAGGGGGAAAAGGAGAAAUCCGCUUUAAGAUGGACUCGCGUCCAAUUAGCUAGAUGGUGAGGUAAAGGCUCACCAUGGCGACGAUUGGUAGCCGGACUGAGAGGUUGAACGGCCACAUUGGGACUGAGACACGGCCCAGACUCCUACGGGAGGCAGCAGUGGGGAAUAUUGCACAAUGGGGGAAACCCUGAUGCAGCGACGCCGCGUGGAGGAAGAAGGUUUUCGGAUUGUAAACUCCUGUCUUCGGGGACGAUAAUGACGGUACCCGAGGAGGAAGCCACGGCUAACUACGUGCCAGCAGCCGCGGUAAAACGUAGGUGGCAAGCGUUGUCCGGAAUUACUGGGUGUAAAGGGAGCGCAGGCGGGUCGGUAAGUUGGGAGUGAAAACUAUGGGCUCAACCCAUAAAUUGCUUUCAAAACUGCUGAUCUUGAGUGGUGUAGAGGUAGGCGGAAUUCCCGGUGUAGCGGUGGAAUGCGUAGAUAUCGGGAGGAACACCAGUGGCGAAGGCGGCCUACUGGGCACUAACUGACGCUGAGGCUCGAAAGCAUGGGUAGCAAACAGG